rnacentral:rRNA from 1 species
GUCGCACGAGAAAGGGCUUCGGCCCCGGUACAGUGGCGCACGGGUGAGUAACACGUGGGUAAUGUUUCCUCGGGCGGGGGAUAACCUUCCGAAAGGAGGGCUAAUACCGCAUAAGACCACGGCUUCGAAAGGAGCUGAGGUCAAAGCAGGCCUCUUCAUGAAAGCUUGCACCUGAGGAUCAGCCCGCGGCCCAUCAGCUUGUUGGCAGGGUAACGGCCUACCAAGGCUAAGACGGGUAGCUGGUCUGAGAGGAUGAUCAGCCACACUGGAACUGAGACACGGUCCAGACUCCUACGGGAGGCAGCAGUGGGGAAUCUUGCGCAAUGGACGAAAGUCUGACGCAGCGACGCCGCGUGGGUGAUGAAGGCCUUCGGGUUGUAAAGCCCUGUGGGGAGAGACGAAUAAGUCGGCGCUAAUAUCGCCGGCGAUGACGGUAUCUCCUUAGCAAGCACCGGCUAACUCUGUGCCAGCAGCCGCGGUAAGACAGAGGGUGCAAACGUUGUUCGGAAUUACUGGGCGUAAAGCGUGUGUAGGCGGCUACGCAAGUCGGAUGUGAAAGCCCCGGGCUCAACCCGGGAAGUGCACCCGAAACUGCGUGGCUCGAGUACCGGAGAGGUUGGUGGAAUUCUCGGUGUAGAGGUGAAAUUCGUAGAUAUCGAGAGGAACACCGGUGGCGAAGGCGGCCAACUGGACGAGUACUGACGCUGAGACACGA